GCUGGUGGGAGGCAGCCCUGCCCAUAGCAGGUGGUUGGGGCUGGGUGGGCUUGAGGUCCCUUCCAAACCAAUCCAUUCUAUGGCAAUUGUGAUUUUAAUGGCAGGAGACAGCUGAUCAGCCUCCUGCCCUUUUACCCCAUGGGAAGGGAGUAAGGGAUGGCCUUGAUGGUCAGGAGGGGGGAGUGGGCAAUUGGUGCCCACCCCUCACGUGGUCCCACUGCCUCACCAUGGGGGUGUGGUGGCCACCUAUAUGAUGGUCACCUUACAGCUCCUUUGUUGACUGUACCUGAUAAAAGAUCAGUCCCAUCUGGGGGUGUUGGUUUCACUAUCCCUGUAGCUGUUUGUGUGUUUCUCAUCACUGGUGCAGAAAGCCAGCACCUCCCACACAGCUGUCCUUGCACGCGUGUGCACUAUAUCAAGCAUCAGCUGACUCCAAGAGUAGCAGCACUGAAAGAAGUUCCCACAAAUAUGAACAUUUCCCAAGAUAGCAAAGUAAAGAAUCAGGGGGCUAUUUCAUUAUUUUUUCCUCCUCCAUCUUCUCUCUCCCUCUCUCUUCUUUUUAUUUUUCCUUAACCAAAGCUCUUUAUUCUGCCUUCAGGGAAACCAUUACUUAUCUUUAUCUUAGAGCUGCGUAGUUUUUGUUUUGUUUUUGUUUUAAAUCAUUUUCCUUUUCUAUGCUGAUCUUUUUAGGGCAGAGGGAAUGAGGAGUCUUUAGAGAAGAUAUAUAAGGCUCCCAACUCCUCCCCUUUGUCCUUUUCCUCCAGGGCACUUUGUCCUCACUCCUCCAUCCCUCAUAUUGGCGUUGGCUUCUGGGGGAAAGGAGGCCAGCUCUGGCCUGUCUCCUAACUGACAAGCUCUGCUCCUCCCUGCAUUGUUUCAUAUUUUCUUGGCCUCUUUUCUCCUGCUGAGCCCAGUGCAGGAAUGAGCUCAUGGUAUUUCAAGAGUGGAAGACUGUGCUCUGUAGCACAGAGGAUCCUCCUCAGUCCCCUGGGGUUGUGUGAUGUCCUUCUGGCACUCAAGGCUGCCUGAGAAGCAGGCUGGCUGGGCUGCACAGCCAAACAAUGAUGUUUGAUCACGGUGAGACCCAGACCAGUGUUUCAGUGUUCUGAAACCCUGUAAGAUUGAGCUGCUUCUGGAAAUGCUAAACAAAGAGUUCUUGAAAAGAAGUUAUCCCUAAAACACCUACUCCCAUCAUGCGAACAGGGAAACCAAAAAGCUGGGAGAUCUCCCAGGGCUGCAGUACCAAAAAUACUGUCCCUUGCAGCCCACCAUGGGGCUAGGAUGUUGCUGGCAUGACGACUAGUCCAAGGCCUCAUCACGGCAGCCCUGAGCAAUAGCUGGUGGAAACCUGUCAAAGCUGAGCAGAGCGACUCACCAGUAAAUGAAGUGGUGUUUUUCCAGGAAAAUUUUUACUCAGCAGAAACUACGUGGCUGCAUCUGAUAUGGGCUCCAUAAGUGGCCAUUAGCUUGUUGUGGAUGAGAGCAACAUAAUUGAAUUUAAGGAAAAGGUUUAAGAGGAAAUAAACUUUUCCUUUUGCAUAGAGUUUCCUGCAUGCUUUUUUUUUUUUUCUUUCCGGCUGAUAACUGCAAAUGUCAAUAGGUUGCAGUUAAUAUGUGGAGAUAAAAAUAAGAACAAAGAGAGAGAAAAUGAGAAGAAGAACUAGGGAUGUCCAUCUUUACUAGAGCUGGGCGUAUGUAGCAAUAAACGUUCACAAAAUGUGCUUGUGAAUAAAACAUGCAGACUGUCUUCCUCAGUGAUUGUGACCCAUUUUAUUUCUAAACACUCAGUUGAAAAAAUGUUCUGCCCACAAAGAUGCUCACGAAAGCAAGCUAUCUCUUGGAGUAAUGUGAAUAAAUAUAAUUGAACGCUCACACUGGCGUUAUUCUCAAAGCUAUUUUGAAGAGCCCUAUCAGUUGCAUGAUAGGCUCGUGAAACAAUUUGGAGUGAUUGCAAAUAACUUGCAGCUAGGAGAGGACAUUUUUCCUGCGUGUGAAGCAUGGCCUCUGGCUGGAAGUGAUGCAGUAUGACUUACGUGACCACUGGCAUACAGUGAAGGGGGGCCGAGGGGUGGGAUGUUUUCAGCAACGGGGUCCCAAUGAAGCCGUAUGCUAAAAUGCCUCCACACCAGCUACUUGUCAGAGCCAUCCGAGGGAUAGUCCAGGUUGCAAGUAGACAGGCUGCUCCCUGGUAACUCGGGGACAGAUAACAGGGCUGUGACUGUCCAAGGAUUUAUCUGCAGUGAGCAACCUGAUCAGCCUUAAUCAUAUGUGACAGCAAUGUGAAGUGCAAAGUUUUGGCCAAUCAGUUUGAAUUAAUCGCCCCGUUCCUCCGUCAGUGCCACUGAACACAGGGUCAGGACAAGCUGGUGACUUCUCCUCACUCGGCUCACAGCCACGAGGCACACCCUGCCUGUGCAUAUCCCCACGAUCUCCUCCCUCAGCCUGCCUCGUUCAUGCUACCAAGGGCAGGGAUGGAAGCGAGCUGUUUGUUCACGCAGUACCUGUUCACCUCUGGCUAUUGCAAAGUCAUCCCUAGUGGAUCUUUUACCCUUUUUUCCUCAUGUAGCAGUGAGUUGCAUUUCAUCCGCCCCAAAUGCCAGGGCUUUCCCUGUGUCUCCCGGAUGGCUAUUGCACAUUAAGCUAUAAUUGCACCGUCAGGGAGUUUUCCUUUCUGAUGCUCUGCCAAAAUGUUUCCUUUAAAAAAAUUAUAUCUAUCAAGGUUAGCUUGGGCAGGAAAUAAUCCAGACAAAUGCACGCUACCUGAUCUUCAGGCCAAUUAAUCUGAAACAGAUACUUGGUGAGUGGGUGAUAGCAAAAAUGCUGACAUGGGGUCUGUGAGGAGCAGAUGAAAAUUUGGAUGCACUGUGAACUUGCAAUUCAGAUGCUGGCAGUAGGGAGGACAAGAGAGUGCUGUGCCAGCAUGAGCAGGAGGGAAUGCUUCUGUAUGUAGCAUGGAGACAGCUACACCUACACUUACCUGUGCUCCUCAGGCAUCUGUAGCAAAAAAUACUAAGUCAGGCUUGAAGAAGUGAUUGAGCACCUGGUGGGAAGGCAGGGCCAACCUAAGGGAGCUCAGGUGCAAGCAAUGCACCCAUGUGACCACAAGGGGUGGUGCCAGAACCAACCUCUUCCCAGACCUUCUAUGAUUCUAUGACCUCAUUUAAGAGUUGGUAGUAGAGGUAAGGGGUAUCUUGCUGGAAGUCCUUGCCCACCUGAGGCCUUCCAAGAGAACUCCGGGCUGAUGUGGAGAAGGGCAGGGGAAAAUUGCCUCCCGGAUGAGGUAUAUGGCAAGAGCAGGGGUUUGGCAGUGAAGAAGGAGGUUGGAGGAAGUCAGAAGUGUUCCAGCCUCUUGAAGCUUUCACGUGCCUGGAAACCUCCUCACUUCCACCUAGCAUCUUUCACCACUGCCCAUAGCCACCUGAGGUUCAUGUAUGUUACAAUAUCAGGCGUGAGCUCUGCUCCAGCACACGCUGACCAGAAUAGUCUGAGAAGACUGGCUGCAGAAGGCAUUACCUGCCACGUAAGGUAUCUGUGUGACCUUCCUCUCUGAAGAGGGUUUUUUUUUUUUUUUCUUUAACAUUCGUUAUUUCUGAGAGCCCAUGGGCUCAGCAGCAAAUUGCAGUGAUGUUUUAGGUUUGGCUGCUUGAAUGUUCUGAUUUUCAGUUUUAGCUGCUAGGGAGGAUUUCAGCAGAUUAGCUAGGCUAGCUGAGCAUCACCAGACUUUUCUUCUGCAGUGGUCAAGCAGCUCAGCUGAGCUGGUGUUAUGUGGUGCCCAACCUACGUCCAGGUGUCAGCAGAAGCACUGGCAACAUCCGAAGAAGUAAGCACAGACUCGUAUGCCAGAGGAUGGCUCCAGAAAUGGCUUGGUGUUUUAUUAACACAUCAGAAGGCUAUUGCUGUGGAUUUGUUGGUUCUCCGGAUAUACAGAAAUUGCUAGACGCACCUCUCUGAGGCACCAUCAGAAAACUAGCUCUGUGUGAAAGCAUCUUCAUGGGGAAGUCUGUCAGCUGCUCAGUAUGGCUUUUUUUCAAAUCUUCUUGAGAAUGAGCAUUGUUGCUUUUAAUCUACAAGUGGAUGAAGGGUUUAAUAGAGGCUUAAUGCCUGAAUGGCUUGCAGUCUUGUUCAGUCAGCUGUUGAGAUGUAAGUAGGAGUAACAGGGAAUCACAGAGGAGGUGUCCACAUGCAAACCUUGUGAAAAAACUGUUUUGGGGGUGUUAGUGUGUGUAAAUUUUUAGAAAGGGGGAAUGAAAAGCAAACAAAUAUGAAAAUGAGAGUUUUAACGCUUAGAUGUCAACUCCUCCAUCCAGGGAUUUCAUCUAUGCUGCUGCUACUGGCCCAUUUUGGUGCAUAGUAAGAACAAUUCUUCUAGCUGCCAAUCAACCAUUUUCUUUUCGAUAAUUAUUCACAUUGCUGUAGAAACGGAAAUUAUCCCUAUUUUCUCACUUUCCAGUGGAAAACUGUAGUUGCAGCUGCUCCCUCCCCCCGUUUGGAAGUUUUACACACUAAGAGUCAUCAGCCAGCCUUGCCUUAAAUCAAAUCUUCCCAUGCAGCCUGGAUGCAAAUCUAGCAAGCACAGCAGCUGUCUACUCUUAGCAAGGAGAAAAGCAACAUGUUUCUUCAGCCACUGGCUAGGGAAUUCCUGCUCAAAGAAGAGGGCUACGCCUUGUCUGAUGCCUUUAUAAAGUCAUAGGAGACAGUUUCCUGCGGGCUUUCACAGAUACUGCUAAUCAUCUUAAACUGAAACAGGGCUUCCAAAAACAGCAUGUAAAUCCCCAUAACACACCUUCAAUUUCUGUCUCCAAGGCUACCCAGCUGCCCUGAUCCUCUGUAACAGGCUCAAAAUGCCAUGAUGCCUCCUUUUGAACUACUCCUUGCCCACUUUUCAAGCCCUCUUUGCUCCCAGACCUCCCCACGGGCAGAAGCCCCACUAGCUCUUGGUUUGCCUUGCUUGCUGGGGACAAGGAUUCACAGCAUCGCUGCACUGUGCUGGGUGAUGAGCAGUGGGACAUCUGCAUGGCAGGGGAUACAAGGCUCUCUGCUGUCCUGCAGCUGAGUGGAACUGAUUUUCACAGGGGCACAAGAGCUGCAUGGUCCUGCCCUGCCCAGUCGUGCUCACCCAUCUGCACAAAGGCUGGGUCUAAAGGGCUCUUUAAAACCAUGUUAAUAGCAUUUUUCAUGCUGCUUUUACUCAACCUCCUCAUUCUGCUCUAAGCCAUGCAGUUCAUGAAUAGCAGCUAUUCCUCGGUCAGGGAAGCACAUUUUGGGGGACACGGUAUACGUAGCCUUAUUGGACAUUUUUCAGUGAUUUUACAUGCAGAUACUGCCUUCUCACAGCAAGCCAAAUUCUGCCCUCUCCUGAAGUCUCUUGGGUCUAAAUUAGUGAGACUUUAUAUAUAUCGUGAUUUGAAUCUGAAUGUGCUUUCUUGCUUGCGAUCCCUGUGGUCACAGAGCAGGCAAGGAGACUUUGUGCUGUAGUUUACCUUGCCAUAAGCAGGCUUUCUCAGUUAUCCUGGUGAGCGCAUUCCCUGCGUUGCCAACGCGGGAGCACUUUCUGCAGGAUGCAGGAUUUGCAAAGGCAUAAAUGUAUGGGGCAGUGUUCCAGCAGCAUGUAGAAUCCUCUAGCUAAUGGGUCAUCUCGCGUCUUCUCUGAGAAGAUAGCACCUGAGGUCCCUCCCAAAACAAUUCCCGGGACUCAUAGGAGUGCUGGAUGAGGCAUUUGUGCUGCAGACACCCCCAAAGCACUGCAGAGUCAAGAGAAUGAUGCCAGACUAGAAUCAAUGAGGCCUUAUGCGGGCACUCAAGAAUAACAAGCCAACCAGUGGAUUUGCAGGCAGACUGUAACAGCUUGUUAUCUGAUGUCCCCUGGGCACAAACACUGAGACAUCUGCAGUUUUUGACCCGUUUUUUCCCUCUGCUGGCUCAAUAGCUAGUUAGCCAGUCAUCCAAAGUGGAAACAAAACAGAGGGAAGAAGAGAACGCAUGCCAGUAAGCGGGAGAAGCUGGAAUAUCGGGACACCAAAAGGACUGGAAAUAAAAUAAGAACACAGGUUUCUUUGCUCUCCUUUAUUAUUUGUGCAUCAAGCUCUCUGAGUUUGUUUCUGGAAUUCUGUUGAAAGCUUGCUAGUUGUCAUUGAACUUUUACAUUGGUUUAUUUUGCAGGUAUUUUGCAUCUCCAAUCUCUUUGGCACUGCAAGAUAAAAAUGAACCUGAACAACAUGCACUGGGACUACACUGUCUCUGGUCCCUAUAAUCUCUUCCCAUCCUAUCAGAGGCCUGCCCAAAGCAGGCUGCUGGGUUCUUGGAAAAGAGAUCCUUGGAGCACAGCAACCAUGCCAACUAACACUGUGCUUCCCUGUUUCCAGGCUCUUGUUACUAAAGAGUGUGCACAGAUAGUCUGAAGGGGUCAUGAACGCCAGCCCCAGCCUAAUCUUCUAAUUAACUCCUGUUAAUGUAAGUGCACUCGAGAAGAUUCUUUUAGCCACACUGCUCAAGAAAUUAGAAGUCCUCUCUCAAAGAGAUAGUGUGUUUCUUCUUUCGUAGUCCAGCAUGACAACACCAUUUUCCUGCAUGAGAAGGAUUUGCAAAAUCCUGUGGUGCUCAUUUCUCAUCCCUGGAUUACAGUUUAUUUUAAAUCAACUCAGGAUGAUAGGUGGCAGCUCAGUGUAUGCUAUCUGCAGCGUUUUAGCCUUGCAUAGGCAGAAGCCUCCUGGUUUAUUGGUUCUCUAAUUUCCAUGCCUUGGAAAAGCCUAAAGAUUGGGGUGUGUGCCUUGCAAUGACACGUAAGGCUCUGGGACCUACCAGAGAAACACGCUGCUGCUGCUGCUGCUGCUUCUCUUUUAACCCAAUGCAGCCUCAUCGCAUGGAUGCUCUGCUCACUGCAGUCAAGGUUAGAAAGGGACUUGAGCCUCUUUCUGAUGUGGAAAUAAAGUAGUCCCACAGGUAGAAACACAAAGAACAGCUGAGCUCAGACUGACCUCAGGAAAAAAACAAAGCCAGUUUUCACAAUGGAGUGUAGCUGGACUGCACCGAGAGAAUGAAUGUGGGGCAGGAUGAGAACUGUACCUGCCUGUGUUAUAAGCAGAGACUCUGCAACUCUCCCGACGUCAAUUUUGCCUAGGAGAAUCCAUCUGAAAACAAACAAAUACCAACAGAAAUGCUUCUAUUGUUUUCUUUCUCUGUUGGUAAUGAAAACUAUUCCUUUUAAAAAGAGCAAUAUCCUCCCCUAUGAUUUUUGCAGUCACAACACAGAAAUGGAGAAAACCUGAAAGCACAAUUGACUCCUUUUGAUUUUUCCUAUUUUAAGAGAGAAGACAUGCCAGCGGGAAAGAGAACAAAAAUCACGCUGAGUAAAUCUGGAAUUUAAACUGCCACCAAUGAUCAACAGCAACUAUCCAAAUAUUUAUUUCUUCUUCUACAGUUUCUUUCUGCUUAAGCUGAUCAGCAGAUCUUUAAUUUGAUAUUCAGUCAUCAUUACAUAAAAACAUGUAUCUUUUAGGUUGUUUCUUUAAUUAUUCACUUCUGCAGGAAUUCAGAUGGCAAGAUUCAGGGGAUAAUUUAGUCACGUACCGCCUUAGUAUGCAGCUUCUCUUCAAUAAUUUGUUGACUGGUGAUCUCCAUUUGGUACUAGAGAUCAAGUCCUCCUCGCACUGAGCUUGACAAGAAAAUGUCCAGUGGUUUGAGAAGGAUGUUGGUUUUAUCCCUUUUGUACAUGCCAUGGCAGAGCUGCCACAGCAUCUAAUGCCAGAUCUCUAAUACCUAGACAGUGCUUUGAAAUACGGCUCCGUGUAUGGAAUACAGUCACAGUUUCAAGCAAGAAGCAAGGGAGGGACUGCAACUCUGCUGCUGGGAGCAUACAAGUGGGGCAUGAAGCAGGGAGAUGUCUCCCUUCCUGCCUAGCAGGCUGGAUAAGUUUCUGCGUGUGGCUUGCUUGUGUGGCAUCAGUGACAUGGUGUGCAAGCUGCAGCCACUCACAGGUCUCCACAACCUGCCUGCUUCCCAGUUAUCAUGGCUGCAGACCACCAUAAAUAUUUCUGCAGGCCAGCUUCUAAGGUCAUGCUGCUAAACCUCCAUAUAUAUGCACUGAAGUAUCAUGAUACAUGCUUUUUUUGGUUUUUUUUUUUUUUCUCUCCUUGUGUGUUUAGUGCUUUAAAAUUCCAUCCAGUUCAACAAGAGCUCAGCAUGUAAUAUAAAGCAGCUGUUUAUGAGUGCUUAAGUACAGAGUUAAGAACCAAACUUUGGGCAGCCAGAUUUGAAAAGUGUAGUCAGUCCUUAAAUGAUGCGCUGUGCUGAAAGGGGCCUACUCUAAAAAUGCUCAUGAAGUGUGAGGGUUUAUGAUGGAAAGGAACCUGUAGCAAGCAGCAUGUGUGCUUCCUACUUUUCCUAGGUUUCAUUAUGCCUUCCUGCCUCACAGAUCAGCUGUAACAUUAAACCCAUUGAAAUUUGUAAAGUGCUUAGAGAUCCACUGAAGGGAGGCAGGACAGAAGUAAAAGGUACUCAAUUUUCAUUGCGUUUUAUCAGGCAAGAGAGUUUCCAGAAUGUCUUCGUAACAAAUAAGAAUAAAUAGCUGCAAAUGUAAAAUAUACCCUGCGCUCACUAAUAGGUAUCUUUCAGGCAGUGGUUGAGAAUAUUUAAGAACAGUGUAGAUUUGAAGACUUGAAUUCAUAUUUCAAUACAUUUCUUAGGGCCAUAGCUUUAUGCACUUCACUAGUGCAUGAAUACUAUCCAAAUCUACUGGCAUUUGAGUAAUAGUGGCAAAUAGUUUGUCUGAUUGUUUUCUCCUGUCAAAUUUCUACUAAAUUUUCAAAUAAAUCAC